rnacentral:tRNA from 1 species
GGAAGAGUACCGCUCCCGGUGGGGCGCGCGGGCUUCAAACCCGUUGGAGGGCGCCAGGCGUCCUCGGUAGGUUCGACUCCUGCCUCUUCCGCCA